rnacentral:lncRNA from 1 species
AAAGAUCAUUUAUUUAGUGCUCAAAGCAAUAUAAACUACUUUAUUUUUUUUAUAUGAACUUUACGCUUUAUAAAUCCAUAUCGGUCGUUCAAAAAAAAAAAAAGAUCCAUAUCAAUAUAUAGUACGGUUAUUACGUGCAAUAUACAAUUGAUGAUUAGAAAAAGAUAUAGAGAUAGAACUCCUUUUUGUAAAAGAUAAUGUCUUUAAGGUUUUUCUUUUAAAAUACAUAAAAGGGAGUAUCUUUAGCGUUUUGUGGGAUAUAGAAAUAUGUAAAACGACAAUAAUACCGAACAAAAGGGUUAUGCUUUUUGUGAAUCCAUAUCUCUUUUUAUCUAUGAUUAUGAUAUAGCUUCACUGUGCCUCAGGUACAAUGAAACAAAAGCGUUCACUGUGGCUCAGGUACAAUGAAACAAAAGUAGCCAUUUUCAUGCAAUUAAUGAUGAUUAAUUAUGAUGACUUACAGCAACAUAGAUAUCCUUAAGAGCAAGACCAUAAAGGAGCCAGACGACCGCACUGAGGGUAAGUGACACGGAUAAGCUAAACGGCA